rnacentral:rRNA from 1 species
UACGUAGGGGGCUAGCGUUGUCCGGAAUCAUUGGGCGUAAAGAGCGUGUAGGCGGCCCGAUAAGUCCGCCGUGAAAGUCCAGGGCUCAACCCUGGAAUGCCGGUGGAAACUGUCGGGCUGGAGUCCGGAAGAGGCGAGUGGAAUUCCUGGUGUAGCGGUGAAAUGCACAGAUAUCAGGAGGAACACCAAUGGCGAAGGCAGCUCGCUGGGACGGUACUGACGCUGAGACGCGAAAGCGUGGGGAGCAAACAGG